AGAGAGAGAGAGAGGAGUUUUCCGAGUUUUCCUUUUCAGAGCCAUUUUCAUGGUUAAUUAAUAAUGCAGCAGAAGCAGCCUGCCACUCCCGACACAACUUUUGCCACAAACUGCAAGUACGGGCAGAAAUUCCAACGCCCAUCGACACCAAAGAACAAAGUUUACGGGGGUUGGGUGGGGGCUACAAUUAAACCGCAGAAAAGUCCUGAAAUGCCGACAAAUUCCCAAUUUUUUUUUUCUACCGACAAAAAAGCGGAACCCUGAAACUUUUGCCGAU